rnacentral:rRNA from 14 species
GGUUUCGGCCCAGCGCUCUGACCGUCAGAGCGGUGACAUUUAAACAAGCUCGGUUACACGGCGGGAGUAAGUGUGACCCUCUCAAGGCGGCCAGCAUCAUCGUCACCUUUUGCGACGCGCAUGAGCGGACCAGAUAUCUUCCAACUGGCCCUUUC